rnacentral:rRNA from 1 species
AUUUUGGACAAUGGGGGAAACCAUGAUCCAGCCAUCCCGCGUGUAUGAUGAAGGCCUUCGUGUUGUAAAGUACUUUUGUCAGAGAAGAAAAGGUAUCUCCUAAUACGAGAUACCGCUGACGGUACGUGCUGAAUAAGCACAGGCUAACUGCGUGCUAGCAGCCGCGGUAAUACGUAGGGUGCAAGCGUUAAUCGGAAUUACUGGGCGUAAAGCGUGUGUAGGCGGUUCGGAAAGAAAGAUGUGAAAUCCCAGGGCUCAACCUUGGAACUGCAUUUUUAACUGCCGAGCUAGAGUAUGUCAGAGGGGGGUAGAAUUCCACGUGUAGCAGUGAAAUGCGUAGAUAUGUGGAGGAAUACCGAUGGCGAAGGCAGCCCCCUGGGAUAAUACUGACGCUCAGACACGAAAGCGUGGGGAGCAAACA